AAGAGAAUAUCUUCAUGAAAAAACUUCUCAGAAAAGCAUCACAAACUUCAAUUCCUGUCUGGAGCAGAAAAUCUACAUUGAAGACAUGGUCUGAGGAAAGGGAGAAAAGACAUAACUAUUUAUUCUGCAGUCAGUAUUUCCAACAUGCUUUUAGGCUACUUUGACUAUCUGGGGAGACCUAAGGACAGCCAACUUCAUUUCCAAGGACUCUCCCCUCAGAGCUUGGACAACCCACUUUCGACAUUGGUAAAGAAGAACAUUUACAAAUACUACCUUUCUUCUUCAAUUUCCCUCGUCAGAGUAGGCUCAGAUACCAGCAACAAUGAUGGAAUCCGUUUAGGCAAAUACCUAACACUAGAUGGAAUCUCGCUCUGUCACCCAGACUGGAGUGCUGUCACAUGA
rnacentral:lncRNA from 1 species